GAUGAACGCUGGCGGCGUGCUUAACACAUGCAAGUCGAACGAAGCUGCUUAACUGAUCUUCUUCGGAAUUGACGUUUUGUAGACUGAGUGGCGGACGGGUGAGUAACGCGUGGGUAACCUGCCCUGUACAGGGGGAUAACAGUCAGAAAUGACUGCUAAUACCGCAUAAGACCACAGCACCGCAUGGUGCAGGGGUAAAAACUCCGGUGGUACAGGAUGGACCCGCGUCUGAUUAGCUGGUUGGUGAGGUAACGGCUCACCAAGGCGACGAUCAGUAGCCGGCUUGAGAGAGUGAACGGCCACAUUGGGACUGAGACACGGCCCAAAACUCCUACGGGAGGCAGCAGUGGGAAUAUUGCACAAUGGGGGAAACCCUGAUGCAGCGACGCCGCGUGAGUGAAGAAGUAUCUCGGUAUGUAAAGCUCUAUCAGCAGGGAAGAAAAUGACGGUACCUGACUAAGAAGCCCCGG
rnacentral:rRNA from 1 species